UUGGUCCAUUCUAAUUUUCAGAGUCCUAAAAAUUUGGGAAUUCUAAUAGACCUUGUGGCCAAGCUGACCUUUAUCUGAAUCUUUGCUCAUAGUCACUGUGGAAUUACUCUCUUCUCCUAGGUUUCUGUCCUAUCCCUGGAUCCAUAAAAUUUCUUUAUAAAUUA